UUGACUGUCAGUUGGACUGCAGCCAACCGCUCAGCCUUCUGGAGAGAUUUGCUCUGGUGUGUCAACUGCACCUACAAGUCCUUGUGGCUCUUCUCCAACAUUUGGCCAAACAUCUGUAAAUCCUCAUUCCAUCACAAGUACCAAUCCAUUUGGUGUAUCUAAUUCCCCGGUAUUUGGAACAGUAGGCACAUUUGGAGCAUCAAGCGCACCAGCUUUUGGCACUUCUCUCACUCAUGCUUUUGGAGCAUCAAAUUCUGCUUUUGGCACUUCCAAGACUCCUGUUUUUGGAGUGUCAAAUUCUGCUUUUGGCUUUUCCGACACUCCUACUUUUGGAUCAUCUUCUACUCCUUCAUUCAGCUCUGGGUCUAGCCCUGCUUUUGGCCAAUCAACACCAGCAUUUGCCAGUAGUCCUUUUGGAACAACUACAAUUGGAGCACAGAGUUCUUUUGGUGAGUAACCAAGCCUACUUGAUCAUAGACUUCGAAACUACUUGUACAGUUAGGCAGAAAUAUAUAUUUUCAUGGGCCUUACAUGAUUUAAGGUCAAGGGAGUUCGUAUACGUAUACAUAUAUAUAUAUUAUUUAAAAUUCUUUGAGUUCUCAUGUAGGACCCCAAUCUUCUGCACCAGCAUUUGGACAGUCAACUUUUGGGGCUCAACGUGGGGGAAGAAGAGUUGCUUCUUACACACCUACAAUUGACGCUGAUAGUAGCAUUGGUACACAGAUGUUCGAGUCAAUUUCAGCUAUGCCUGUUUACAAAGAUAAAAGUCAUGAGGAGCUGAGAUGGGAGGAUUAUCAAUUAGGAGAUAAAGGUACCUUUGUAAAAUAUUAAGAAAACCUGGAAGUUAUUCAUUAUUCUUUCCCAUUCAUUAUCGACUAACUUGCUGUAAUAAUUUGACUGUCAGUUGGACUGCAGCCAACCGCUCAGCCUUCUGGAGAGAUUUGCUCUGGUGUGUCAACUGCACCUACAAGUCCUUGUGGCUCUUCUCCAACAUUUGGCCAAACAUCUGUAAAUCCUCAUUCCAUCACAAGUACCAAUCCAUUUGGUGUAUCUAAUUCCCCAGUAUUUGGAACAGUAGGCACAUUUGAAGCAUCAAGCGCACCAGCUUUUGGC
rnacentral:lncRNA from 1 species